UUGAACGCUGGCGGCAGGCUUAACACAUGCAAGUCGAGCGGAGAGAGGUAGCUUGCUACUGAUCUUAGCGGCGGACGGGUGAGUAAUACUUAGGAAUCUGGCUAUUAGUGGGGGACAACAUUUCGAAAGGGAUGCUAAUACCGCAUACGUCCUACGGGAGGAAGCAGGGGAUCUUCGGACCUUGCGCUAAUAGAUGAGCCUAAGUCGGAUUAGCUAGUUGGUGGGGUAAAGGCCUACCAAGGCGACGAUCUGUAGCGGGUCUGAGAGGAUGAUCCGCCACACUGGGACUGAGACACGGCCCAGACUCCUACGGGAGGCAGCAGUGGGGAAUAUUGGACAAUGGGGGGAACCCUGAUCCAGCCAUGCCGCGUGUGUGAAGAAGGCCUUAUGGUUGUAAAGCACUUUAA
rnacentral:rRNA from 1 species